GAUAGCUUAAUACAGAGCGUGGCUUUGAAGAAGCCAAGGUGAAAUAAUUCUC
rnacentral:tRNA from 1 species